rnacentral:tRNA from 1 species
UGGGGGUAGCUCAGUGGUAGAGUGCUUGCUUAUAAUGUAUUUAUUCAUUUAUUUAUUUAUUUUUAUGUGGUGCUGAGGAUUGGGUUUGAUCCCCAACAUUGCAA